rnacentral:rRNA from 1 species
UCUGCGAUUUCCGAAUGGGGAAACCCAACUGCAUAAGCAGUUACUGUUAACUGAAUACAUAGGUUAACAGAGCAAACCGGGGGAACUGAAACAUCUAAGUACCCCGAGGAGAAGAAAUCAACCGAGAUUCCGGUAGUAGCGGCGAGCGAACCUGGAUUAGCCCUUAAGCACUCGGUGAAGUAGGUGAACAAGCUGGAAAGCUUGGCGAUACAGGGUGAUAGCCCCGUAACCGACGCUUCAUCGAGCGUGAAAUCGAGUAGGGCGGGACACGUGAUAUCCUGUCUGAAUAUGGGGGGACCAUCCUCCAAGGCUAAAUACUCCUGACUGACCGAUAGUGAACCAGUACCGUGAGGGAAAGGCGAAAAGAACCCCUGUGAGGGGAGUGAAAUAGAACCUGAAACCGUGUACGUACAAGCAGUAGGAGCACCUUCGUGGUGUGACUGCGUACCUUUUGUAUAAUGGGUCAGCGACUUAUAUUCAGUGGCAAGGUUAACCGUAUAGGGGAGCCGUAGCGAAAGCGAGUCUUAACUGGGCGCUCAGUCUCUGGAUAUAGACCCGAAACCGGGUGAUCUAGCCAUGGGCAGGUUGAAGGUUGAGUAACAUCAACUGGAGGACCGAACCGACUAAUGUUGAAAAAUUAGCGGAUGACUUGUGGCUAGGGGUGAAAGGCCAAUCAAACUCGGAGAUAGCUGGUUCUCCCCGAAAGCUAUUUAGGUAGCGCCUCGGACGAAUACUACUGGGGGUAGAGCACUGUUAAGGCUAGGGGGUCAUCCCGACUUACCAACCCUUUGCAAACUCCGAAUACCAGUAAGUACUAUCCGGGAGACACACGGCGGGUGCUAACGUCCGUCGUGGAGAGGGAAACAACCCAGACCGCCAGCUAAGGUCCCAAAGUAUUGCUAAGUGGGAAACGAUGUGGGAAGGCUCAGACAGCUAGGAUGUUGGCUUAGAAGCAGCCAUCAUUUAAAGAAAGCGUAAUAGCUCACUAGUCGAGUCGGCCUGCGCGGAAGAUGUAACGGGGCUAAGCAAUACACCGAAGCUGCGGCAAUAUCUUUUAGAUAUUGGGUAGGGGAGCGUUCUGUAAGCCGUUGAAGGUGAAUCGUAAGGUUUGCUGGAGGUAUCAGAAGUGCGAAUGCUGACAUGAGUAACGACAAAGGGGGUGAAAAACCUCCUCGCCGGAAGACCAAGGGUUCCUGUCCAACGUUAAUCGGGGCAGGGUGAGUCGACCCCUAAGGUGAGGCCGAAAGGCGUAAUCGAUGGGAAACGGGUUAAUAUUCCCGUACUUCUGACUAUUGCGAUGGGGGGACGGAGAAGGCUAGGUGGGCCAGGCGACGGUUGUCCUGGUUCAAGUGCGUAGGCUUGAGAGUUAGGUAAAUCCGGCUCUCUCUAAGGCUGAGACACGACGUCGAGCUGCUACGGCAGUGAAGUCAUUGAUGCCAUGCUUCCAGGAAAAGCCUCUAAGCUUCAGAUAGUCAGGAAUCGUACCCCAAACCGACACAGGUGGUCGGGUAGAGAAUACCAAGGCGCUUGAGAGAACUCGGGUGAAGGAACUAGGCAAAAUGGUACCGUAACUUCGGGAGAAGGUACGCUCUUGAUGGUGAAGUCCCUCGCGGAUGGAGCUGACGAGAGUCGCAGAUACCAGGUGGCUGCAACUGUUUAUUAAAAACACAGCACUGUGCAAAAUCGCAAGAUGACGUAUACGGUGUGACGCCUGCCCGGUGCCGGAAGGUUAAUUGAUGGGGUUAGCGCAAGCGAAGCUCUUGAUCGAAGCCCCGGUAAACGGCGGCCGUAACUAUAACGGUCCUAAGGUAGCGAAAUUCCUUGUCGGGUAAGUUCCGACCUGCACGAAUGGCGUAAUGAUGGCCACGCUGUCUCCACCCGAGACUCAGUGAAAUUGAAAUCGCUGUGAAGAUGCAGUGUACCCGCGGCUAGACGGAAAGACCCCGUGAACCUUUACUACAGCUUGGCACUGAACAUUGAACCUACAUGUGUAGGAUAGGUGGGAGGCUAUGAAGACGUGACGCCAGUUGCGUUGGAGCCGUCCUUGAAAUACCACCCUUGUAUGUUUGAUGUUCUAACUUAGACCCAUUAUCUGGGUUGAGGACAGUGCCUGGUGGGUAGUUUGACUGGGGCGGUCUCCUCCCAAAGAGUAACGGAGGAGCACGAAGGUGGGCUAAUCACGGUUGGACAUCGUGAGGUUAGUGCAAUGGCAUAAGCCCGCUUAACUGCGAGAAUGACGGUUCGAGCAGGUGCGAAAGCAGGUCAUAGUGAUCCGGUGGUUCUGUAUGGAAGGGCCAUCGCUCAACGGAUAAAAGGUACUCCGGGGAUAACAGGCUGAUACCGCCCAAGAGUUCAUAUCGACGGCGGUGUUUGGCACCUCGAUGUCGGCUCAUCACAUCCUGGGGCUGAAGUCGGUCCCAAGGGUAUGGCUGUUCGCCAUUUAAAGUGGUACGCGAGCUGGGUUUAGAACGUCGUGAGACAGUUCGGUCCCUAUCUGCCGUGGGCGUUGGAAGAUUGAAGGGGGCUGCUCCUAGUACGAGAGGACCGGAGUGGACGAACCUCUGGUGUUCGGGUUGUGUCGCCAGACGCAUUGCCCGGUAGCUAAGUUCGGAAUUGAUAAGCGCUGAAAGCAUCUAAGCGCGAAGCGAGCCCUGAGAUGAGU